rnacentral:tRNA from 4 species
CCCUCGGUACGAAUAACUCGUACAACGGAUUAGCAAUCCGACGCUUUAGUCCACUCAGCCAUCUCUCC